CGUAUGUAACCUACCUUUGUCAGGGGGAUAGCCUCUCGAAAGAGAGAUUAAGCCCGCAUAAUAUGAAGACACAGCAUUGUGAUUUCAUCAAAUAUUUAUAGGAUAAAGAUGGGCAUGCGGAACAUUAGCUAGUUGGUAAGGUAAUGGCUUACCAAGGCUACGAUGUUUAGGGGAUCUGAGAGGAUGACCCCCCACACUGGUACUGAGACACGGACCAG
rnacentral:rRNA from 1 species